UACGGGGGGGGUAAGCGUUGUUCGGAAUUACUGGGCGUAAAGGGCGCGUAGGCGGGGUGGCAAGUCAGUCGUGAAAUCUCUCGGCUCAACCGAGAAACGUCGGCUGAUACUGCCGUUCUUGAGGGAUGCAGAGGAGACUGGAAUUCCCGGUGUAGCGGUGAAAUGUGUAGAGAUCGGGAGGAACACCGGUGGCGAAGGCGGGUCUCUGGGCAUUUCCUGACGCUGAGGCGCGAAAGCGUGGGGAGCAAACGGG
rnacentral:rRNA from 1 species